ACUUUCGAGGCUCCACUUAGCAAAAUUUUGCUGUUACUUUCGAUUAGCAAAAAGGAUUAUUUUACUAAUGUGAUAGCAAAAAGCAAAUUUUGCUUCUUUUUAGUAAUUAUAAAGGCAAUUUUACUUGAUAUUAGUAAAACGAAGGUUUUCUAGCCGCUUUGUUUAUAGACAGCAGCCGCCGCCAGUUGGGGGAAAAUAACAAACUGACGCGAUAAAGUGCGGUUCUGAAAGCGCGAUGCUGGUGGUCCUAGCGGUGGUAAAAUGAUAGCCAGAUCAAUUCCGGAUGCGUACAGGUUACUAUUUCCGACAAGAUUGACGGGUUUUUUUUACAACAGUUCGGAAGUGGACAACUGGAGUUUCAACGAACUGCAUCAGGCACAAUCAUCGAUGCAUGAAUGACGAUCGGUCGCUUGGGGUUUCAUUAGCCGGAAGGUGCGUUUCCAGGAUCCAAACAGUUUAUGAAAAGUGUUAGUGAAAAGUGUUUUGAAAAAUAUAAAUAAAUUCAAAGUGAU